CACGUAGGAGGCGAGCGUUGUCCGGAAUCAUUGGGCGUAAAGGGUGCGUAGGCGGCGCGGUAAGUCGGGUGUGAAAUCUCGGAGCUUAACUCCGAAACUGCAUUCGAUACUGCCGUGCUUGAGGACUGGAGAGGAGACUGGAAUUUACGGUGUAGCGGUGAAAUGCGUAGAUAUCGUAAGGAAGACCAGUGGCGAAGGCGGGUCUCUGGACAGUUCCUGACGCUGAGGCACGAAGGUCAGGGGAGCAAACGGG
rnacentral:rRNA from 1 species